UACGGAGGGGACUAGCGUUGUUCGGAAUUACUGGGCGUAAAGCGCACGUAGGCGGAUUUGUAAGUCAGGGGUGAAAUCCCGGGGCUCAACCUCGGAACUGCCUUUGAUACUGCAAAUCUCGAGUCCGGAAGAGGUGAGUGGAAUUCCUAGUGUAGAGGUGAAAUUCGUAGAUAUUAGGAAGAACACCAGUGGCGAAGGCGCCACUCUGGGCCGUAACUGACGCUGAGGAGCGAAAGCGUGGGUAGCAAACAGG
rnacentral:rRNA from 1 species